CGGGACACGUGGUAUCCUGUCUGAAUAUGGGGGGACCAUCCUCCAAGGCUAAAUACUCCUGACUGACCGAUAGUGAACCAGUACCGUGAGGGAAAGGCGAAAAGAACCCCGGCGAGGGGAGUGAAAAAGAACCUGAAACCGUGUACGUACAAGCAGUGGGAGCACGCUUCGGCGUGUGACUGCGUACCUUUUGUAUAAUGGGUCAGCGACUUAUAUUCUGUAGCAAGGUUAACCGAAUAGGGGAGCCGAAGGGAAACCGAGUCUUAACUGGGCGUUAAGUUGCAGGGUAUAGACCCGAAACCCGGUGAUCUAGCCAUGGGCAGGUUGAAGGUUGGGUAACACUAACUGGAGGACCGAACCGACUAAUGUUGAAAAAUUAGCGGAUGACUUGUGGCUGGGGGUGAAAGGCCAAUCAAACCGGGAGAUAGCUGGUUCUCCCCGAAAGCUAUUUAGGUAGCGCCUCGUGAAUUCAUCUCCGGGGGUAGAGCACUGUUUCGGCAAGGGGGUCAUCCCGACUUACCAACCCGAUGCAAACUGCGAAUACCGGAGAAUGUUAUCACGGGAGACACACGGCGGGUGCUAACGUCCGUCGUGAAGAGGGAAACAACCCAGACCGCCAGCUAAGGUCCCAAAGUCAUGGUUAAGUGGGAAACGAUGUGGGAAGGCCCAGACAGCCAGGAUGUUGGCUUAGAAGCAGCCAUCAUUUAAAGAAAGCGUAAUAGCUCACUGGUCGAGUCGGCCUGCGCGGAAGAUGUAACGGGGCUAAACCAUGCACCGAAGCUGCGGCAGCGACACUAUGUGUUGUUGGGUAGGGGAGCGUUCUGUAAGCCUGUGAAGGUGUACU
rnacentral:rRNA from 1 species